CUUGGGUCAUUUAGAGGAAGUAAAAGUCGUAACAAGGUCUCCGUAGGUGAACCUGCGGAGGGAUCAUUACAAGUGACCCCGGUCUAACCACCGGGAUGUUCAUAACCCUUUGUUGUCCGACUCUGUUGCCUCCGGGGCGACCCUGCCUUCGGGCGGGGGCUCCGGGUGGACACUUCAAACUCUUGCGUAACUUUGCAGUCUGAGUAAACUUAAUUAAUAAAUUAAAACUUUUAACAACGGAUCUCUUGGUUCUGGCAUCGAUGAAGAACGCAGCGAAAUGCGAUAAGUAAUGUGAAUUGCAGAAUUCAGUGAAUCAUCGAAUCUUUGAACGCACAUUGCGCCCCCUGGUAUUCCGGGGGGCAUGCCUGUUCGAGCGUCAUUUCACCACUCAAGCCUCGCUUGGUAUUGGGCAACGCGGUCCGCCGCGUGCCUCAAAUCGACCGGCUGGGUCUUCUGUCCCCUAAGCGUUGUGGAAACUAUUCGCUAAAGGGUGUUCGGGAGGCUACGCCGUAAAACAACCCCAUUUCUAAGGUUGACCUCGGAUCAGGUAGGGAUACCCGCUGAACUUAAGCAUAUCAAUAAGCGGGGAGGAA
rnacentral:rRNA from 1 species